rnacentral:rRNA from 1 species
GACGAACGCUGGCGGCGUGCUUAACACAUGCAAGUCGAACGAAGUGGCGAACGGGUGAGUAAUACGUGAGUAACCUGCCCUCCUUUUUGGGAUAAGCCUUGGAAACGGGUUCUAAUACCGAAUACAGGGGGAUGGGCGCGCGGCCUAUCCGCUUGUUGGUGGGGUGAUGGCCUACCAAGGCGGUGACGGGGAGCCGGCCUGAGAGGGUGACAGGCGACAUGGGGAAUGGGAUACGGCCCAAAAUGCUGCGGGAGGCAGCAGUGGGGGAUAUUGGACAAUGGGCGAAAGCCUGAUGCAGCGACGCAGGGUGGGGGAUGUAGGCUUUCGGGUUGUAAACCUCUUUCGCGAUGGAACGGGUAGGUGGAGAAGAAGCUCCGGCUAACUACGUGCCAGCAGCCGCGGUAAUAC